CCUACGGGCGGCAGCAGUGGGGGAUAUUGCACAAUGGCGGAAACCCUGAUGCAGCGACGCCGCGUGGGCGAAGAAGUAUUUCGGUAUGUAAAGCCCUAUCAGCAGGGAAGAAGAAAUGACGGUACCUGCGUAAGAAGCACCGGCUAAAUACGUGCCAGCAGCCGCGGUAAUCCGUAUGGUGCAAGCGUUAUCCGGAUUUACUGGGUGUAAAGGGAGCGCAGGCGGCACGGCAAGCCAGACGUGAAAGCCCGCGGCCCAAGCGCUGGACUGCAUUGGGUACUACCGUGCUGGAGUGCCGGUGAGGUAGGCGGAAUGCCUGGUGUAGCGGUGAAAUGCGUAGAUAUUAGGAAGAACACCAGUUGCGAAGGCAGCCUACUGGACGGUGACUGACGCUGAGGCUCGAAAGCGUGGGGAGCAAACAGGAUUAGAUACCCCUGUAGUC
rnacentral:rRNA from 1 species